rnacentral:rRNA from 1 species
UACGUAGGGGGCAAGCGUUGUCCGGAUUCAUUGGGCGUAAAGAGCGUGUAGGCGGCCAGGUAGGUCGGUUGUGAAAACUGGAGGCUCAACCUUCAGAGGUCGACCGAAACCAUCUGGCUAGAGUCCGGGAGAGGAGAGUGGAAUUCCUGGUGUAGCGGUGAAAUGCGCAGAUAUCAGGAAGAACACCUAUGGCGAAAGCAGCUCUCUGGGACGGUACUGACGCUGAGACGCGAAAGCGUGGGGAGCGAACAGG